UAGGGAAUCUUCCGCAAUGGGCGAAAGCCUGACGGAGCAACGCCGCGUGAGUGAUGAAGGUCUUCGGAUCGUAAAACUCUGUUAUUAGGGAAGAACAAAUGUGUAAGUAACUAUGCACGUCUUGACGGUACCUAAUCAGAAAGCCACGGCUAACUACGUGCCAGCAGCCGCGGUAAUACGUAGGUGGCAAGCGUUAUCCGGAAUUAUUGGGCGUAAAGCGCGCGUAGGCGGUUUUUUAAGUCUGAUGUGAAAGCCCACGGCUCAACCGUGGAGAGUCAUUGGAAACUGGGAAACUUGAGUGCAGAAGAGGAAAGUGGAAUUCCAUGUGUAGCGGUGAAAUGCGCAGAGAUAUGGAGGAACACCAGUGGCGAAGGCGACUUUCUGGUCUGUAACUGACGCUGAUGUGCGAAAGCGUGGGGAUCAAACAGG
rnacentral:rRNA from 1 species